AAAUCAUUCUCCAUGCACAUCCCACCCCUUCUUGUCAAUAUUUCAUCCUUAAAUUUGUGCCUCAUAUACACAGGAUACCAGCUCACAUGCAUUAUAAAUUAUUAUUUAUAGACCCCUGAUGGUGUCCCUAGAAGUACAUUCUAGCCUGAUUCUCCCACUGUGCAGUUUGGCAAACGGGGGACUUUGUGAGAGGCACCAUGGGUUAGAUCGGACACACAACUUGGAAUGCAAGCAGAGAAAUAAAGGUCUGAAUUCAGCUUCAUCUCCUCAAAGUCAGGACCUUACUUGCAUUUUCAGAGAGUUGUGUCUAUGGCAGUUUUGGCCCCUGAUGUACAGUUAAGCAGAUGGCAUAGGGUAAGCAGUAGUCUGCCAAGAAGGGGCUCUGGGUAGGUCUGACUGAAGGAAGGGGUCCAGGGGCAGGGACCUUGAAAAAAGUGACUUCACUUCCUUGGUGACAGGCCCACAACUCAUUCAGAACUCUGGUAACCAGGGAGCUGCAUUCUGGAACUUCUUGCUUUCCAGCUCACUUAACUGGAGACAGUCAAUAGAACAAGAUGUUCUGUUGCUGUUGUCCUACUUUCAGGUGCUCUGGGCUCAGGAGAAUCCAGAUGGAGAGAUGUUCACAUCGCUGUCGACAUCAGCUCGGCCCUCUCUCCAGUGCUCCUGGUUAUUUGUCAAGAGACCUCAACAGGAAACUGCAUUUGAAGAGCUGUGCCCAGGAGAUCUUGGAGGAGAUGGUCUGUGGCUUCAAAUAUUCUAACUCCCUAGACAAUGAUCGGGUGCACCAGGCAAACAAGGAUCAGUGCUAUUCUGAAGUGAGAAUGGGAAGAGGAUUCUCCACACAAAUAUGGCCCUCACAGAAAUAUGGUGAGAAACCUUGGGCCCUCCUGUCAUGUUUCCACAUGACUGUCCCUCAUGCCCAACCACAAAGAGAUCUGAACCUCCAGCUAUGCUACGAAUGAGGUGAAAGGCACUCUUCACCUACGUUGGAAUGGUGCAGAAUAUAAUUCAUUUUUUUGAGGAGUCACAGUGUUUUGUUUGUUUCACUCAGAGCAAUGAGUAUCUUUGCAUUUUACUACUAUUUUGAUUAUUUCCCAUAUCCUUCUCAGAUAUCCUGUAUAGAACACAGCUCCACUAUCUUUGCAGAGCAUCUCCCAACCCUUAGAUAUAAUCACACUAAAAAGCGUGAUUUACUACAAAAAGAAGGAUGGGAUGAAGCCAUUCUAUAUGUUUAUCUAUAAGGUGUCUGUCAGAUCACAUCAGAUCAUUGUAGGCCCAACAUGUCAAGAGCUGUGUCCUUAUAGAUAUUCAUAUUACUUUAUCAGUAAGGUAAACUGUUUAUAUUACUCAUUCAGCUAUUCCAACUUAUUCUAAGUAAUAAAGUAUAUUCAUUAAAAGUAAUGAGAUCA
rnacentral:lncRNA from 12 species